UACGAAGGGGGCUAGCGUUGCUCGGAAUCACUGGGCGUAAAGGGUGCGUAGGCGGGUCUUUAAGUCAGGGGUGAAAUCCUGGAGCUCAACUCCAGAACUGCCUUUGAUACUGGGAAGCUUGAGUCCGGGAGAGGUGAGUGGAACUGCGAGUGUAGAGGUGAAAUUCGUAGAUAUUCGCAAGAACACCAGUGGCGAAGGCGGCUCACUGGCCCGGUACUGACGCUGAGGUGCGAAAGCGUGGGGAGCAAACAGG
rnacentral:rRNA from 1 species